GUUGCAGUAAAAAGCUGCCUUUUAAGGCAGCCAGCUUAAUAUUAGAAAAAGAGAGAGAGAAAACGGGACUGCCCAGCUCGGCUCGGAAAGGCUCGAGCCUAAAAUUUUUAGGAGAGCUCCUGCUCAGGUGGGCUCGGGCCCGGAAAAAGCUCGAUCAUUUUAACCAAGCCGAGCUCGAGUCGGCUCGGCUCGGCUUGUUAACAUCCCUACUGUUGCUUGGUUGAUUGUUGUCCAUAUGGCAUUGAUAUCUUCUGCGCAUACCGACUUCGUUAUAUGAUAAGAUCUCUUCAUUAAUAUUUUCUUGGCAUUACUUGAAUAUUUGUUAUUGCAAGUUGCUUUCUAUAUUUAUCAACUGACGUCACUUGUUCAUUAAAGUAACAAUCUUGGUAGCAUGUCUUUUUUUAAAGGUCAGUAUUGUAUAAGUACCACUUCAUAUUUUUCUAGGUGUUAAUGUUUGGAUUGCAAUUGUUCUGCUGCUUUCUUAUGCUAAUAAACCCAAUUCUAGAAAGUAGUAACAAAAUUAAAAAUGAAUAUUUUUCAUUUAGUAAAUUAUGGAUUGUGAGAUUUUGAAUGUUUAGCUGUUCUAUUUCGAAUUAUUGCUACCACGAAUAAGCAUGAUUCUGUUUAAAUAACUUAUGUGAAGGGAAGCUCAUUUAUAAGGGAGGUACUUUUCAGCUUCUCUGGUAUUCGUUAUUGAAGCUAAAGAAGGAAUUUUGGUUUGUUCUUCCAAGAUACUUUAUUAGAAGCAAUGACCACAGCUCUAAUUCGGCACGAGAACAAAAGUGGGUUUGUUAGAGGGGCUACCGUUGUUUCCAUCGAUGGUGCUAUUUUCUCAAUCGAGGUCUUUACCACUUUUAUGACAAGCAGAUGAAUCUGAGACUGGGAUUAUACUGUAUUUGGCAAGCAAUGGGUUUCACCUGACUAAUCAUUCCAUUUCAGAUUAGUUGUAUGGUCAAAUUGUUGAUUCAAUUGCUUAAUAGAAACUUUUUAUACACAUUCAUCCUUCCAAACGGUAGACUUGUUUGUGG
rnacentral:lncRNA from 1 species